rnacentral:rRNA from 1 species
UACGUAGGGACCGAGCGUUGUCCGGAAUCAUUGGGCGUAAAGAGCGUGUAGGCGGCUUGCUAAGUCUUGCGUGAAAUCUCGGGGCUCAACCCCGAGCGGUCGUGGGAAACUGGCAGGCUAGAGUGCGGGAGAGGAGAAUGGAAUUCCUGGUGUAGCGGUGAAAUGCGUAGAUAUCCUGAGGAACACCGGUGGCGAAAGCGGCGUGCUGGACACCUUCUGACGCUGAGGCGCGAAAGCCAGGGGAGCGAACGGG